GAUGAACGCUGGCGGCGUGCCUAAUACAUGCAAGUCGAGCGAACAGACGAGGAGCUUGCUCCUCUGACGUUAGCGGCGGACGGGUGAGUAACACGUGGAUAACCUACCUAUAAGACUGGGAUAACUUCGGGAAACCGUAGCUAAUACCGGAUAAUAUUUUGAACCGCAUGGUUCAAUAGUGAAAGACGGUUUUGCUGUCACUUAUAGAUGGAUCCGCGCUGCAUUAGCUAGUUGGUAAGGUAACGGCUUACCAAGGCAACGAUGCGUAGCCGACCUGAGAGGUGGAUCGCCAACACGGAAACGAGAAACCGGCCCAACUCCCAACGGAGGGCAGCAGUGGGGAAUCUUCCGCAAGGGGCGAAGGCUUGACGAAGAACCGCCGGGUGAGUAAUGAGGGUCUUCGGUCCGAAAACCUCUGUUAUUGGGAAAAAACAAAUGGGUAGGUACCGAUGCACGUCUUACCGGUACCAAAUAAGAAGGCAACGCUAAAUUACGU
rnacentral:rRNA from 1 species